CAGUAGCACGGUAAUACGUAGGGUGCGAGCGUUAAUCGGAAUUACUGGGCGUAAAGCGUGCGCAGGCGGUUUUGUAAGACAGGCAUGAAAUCCCCGGGCUCAACCUGGGAAUGGCGCUUGUGACUGCAAAGCUAGAGUGCGGCAGAGGGGGAUGGAAUUCCGCGUGUAGCAGUGAAAUGCGUAGAUAUGCGGAGGAACACCGAUGGCGAAGGCAAUCCCCUGGGCCUGCACUGACGCUCAUGCACGAAAGCGUGGGGAGCAAACAGGAUUAGAUACCCCGGUAGUCCCUGUCUCUUAUACA
rnacentral:rRNA from 1 species